CUAAACCUUGGAUCUAUCUCUUUCCAUCAUUUGUUUGCCACAAACAAAGUGAUAACAAAUUUUCCUUUUAAUGCAUAUCACUCUCACUCUCCAUUUCUAUCUCUAUGUCUCAACCUCCAUCAACAUUACCUCCUCAACAUCAUGCACAUGGAUGAUGUGCAUCUCUCUCUCAUUGUUCAUUUUUGUUUGGCAAGAAUGGAGCCGGCCAAUUUGUGUUUGCAUUCAAAAUUCGGCCAGCACUAUCUCCCCUUUUCCUUCUUAUACAAGCCAUGCCUCCCACCUACCCCAAUCCAUAAAUGGGCAGCCUCCCAACCAACUCAAUCAAUGAGGAGGCUACCUCCCAACCAACUCAAUCAAUGAGGAGGCAGCCAACCCACCCCCUCUCCCUCUAUAUAAAGGGGCUUGGCAGCCCACUCCCUCCUCACUUGCUCUCAUUUCCCACUCUCCACUCCUCUCCACUCCUCUCCUUUGCCUCAUUUCUUUUCACUCCCUACUAUUUCCUCCACUCCCUCACACUCUCCUCCUCCACUUCCCCACGAAAAUGGUGCUCCCCUUGCUCCCAUGGCCGGCCAUAGCCAUGGCAAGCCACCAAGAUGAAGCUCUCCCCCCUCCCUCAAGCUCAUCCUCACCAUGAGAGCCUCCCUCUCCUUCUUCUCCCUAACCUUAGAUGGUUUAAUCUCCUCUUCUUCUCCCUCCAUUGCUAAGAUUGGAUCUUGAUGCAGGUGCAUGUUGGUCCAAGCAUGGAGAAUGUUGAGCUAUCCUCAGAUCUGAAGUUCUUGAGCAAAGUUCGUCCAAAACCUUGCAGUAAUUUCUGUUUCUUGCUGUUUCAGAUUCUGGUACGAUCUUGUAAAAUCCGCCAAAUCUCGUGUGCAGAUCCAAAUCGAGUAGUUCAAAGUUCUGCAGAUAGGGGAUGUUUGGUUUAUACUAUGGUGAUAACCGAGAGAGGAAAUUGCUAAGUUGUGAUACUCUCAUACCUUUACUAGACGCGAGCAAUUCCGGAAAAGAAGAAGAAGUGGAAUUGGACAAGGAUUUUAUUUAUAUUGUUGGGAUUCUUAUAUUGAUGGAGUUGAAGAAGUACAGGGACAAAUAAGCCAAG